rnacentral:rRNA from 1 species
UGCCUAAUACAUGCAAGUCGAGCGAAUGGAUUGAGAGCUUGCUCUCAAGAAGUUAGCGGCGGACGGGUGAGUAACACGUGGGUAACCUGCCCAUAAGACUGGGAUAACUCCGGGAAACCGGGGCUAAUACCGGAUAACAUUUUGAACUGCAUGGUUCGAAAUUGAAAGGCGGCUUCGGCUGUCACUUAUGGAUGGACCCGCGUCGCAUUAGCUAGUUGGUGAGGUAACGGCUCACCAAGGCAACGAUGCGUAGCCGACCUGAGAGGGUGAUCGGCCACACUGGGACUGAGACACGGCCCAGACUCCUACGGGAGGCAGCAGUAGGGAAUCUUCCGCAAUGGACGAAAGUCUGACGGAGCAACGCCGCGUGAGUGAUGAAGGCUUUCGGGUCGUAAAACUCUGUUGUUAGGGAAGAACAAGUGCUAGUUGAAUAAGCUGGCACCUUGACGGUACCUAACCAGAAAGCCACGGCUAACUACGUGCCAGCAGCCGCGGUAAUACGUAGGUGGCAAGCGUUAUCCGGAAUUAUUGGGCGUAAAGCGCGCGCAGGUGGUUUCUUAAGUCUGAUGUGAAAGCCCACGGCUCAACCGUGGAGGGUCAUUGGAAACUGGGAGACUUGAGUGCAGAAGAGGAAAGUGGAAUUCCAUGUGUAGCGGUGAAAUGCGUAGAGAUAUGGAGGAACACCAGUGGCGAAGGCGACUUUCUGGUCUGUAACUGACACUGAGGCGCGAAAGCGUGGGGAGCAAACAGGAUUA